GCAAUAGUUCAGAAUUACUAGUGUCGUCAGACCACGAUCAGGUGGGCUUUCUAGACUCAGAAUUUGAAGUGCGCACUAUUUAAUUAUGUUAUUAUAUGAAUGAUGUCAUAUUAAAGUUAUUGACUUGCCAAAACUUUUAUGAGCUUGUAUGUUACCAUCUACGAGAGAUAGACGAUAUCGGCCCUAUGCUGAAGCGAGAUGUCAGUAAGGGUUUGUGCACAUAGUUGUGACCGUGAGCCAUCGAGCGGGUUGGCCGGUCACUGUGAUCGAGAGCCUUCGGGCCGAUCACUGUGUUUGAGAAGGAGGCCUACUUCUCAACACAAGGUUACAUGAUGCGUAGUUAUGGUUAAGCUGUGAUGCAGAUGGAGGCGAGCAGAGCAAAGCUUUUGAUAUAUAAGUACUAAAUUAGGCUCAGGAUUCCAUGUCUUCAUACAUGUAAUCCACUUAAGCUAUUCCGCUGCAACGCUUAGUGCGUUUUACUUUAUUGAUGUGUUGCAAAGAUUUCAAACUAAUAGCUUACAGAAUUAUGUCACUUGAUACUUAGACAACUUGUCGUUAUGUAUUGUGAGUUGUCUGCUUUUGAGUUUUAGAAAAGAUUGUUUAUGAUUACCAAAUAUUUUGGUAAA